UUAUACGCCCGUAUAAAAUACGGGACGUAUUAUGUGAAACCCCUUGGCGGCGGGCGGGCGGCGGGCGGAAGGCAUCACUUUGUCCGGACUCUAAUUCAAAUUGUAUUCAUCCGAUCUUCACCAAACUUGGUCAGCAGUUGCAUCUAGUUGAUAUCUAGGCCAAGUUCGAAUAUGGGUCAUGCCGGGUCAAAAACUAGGUCAUAGGGUCAAUUAGUGCAUUUUCAACGGCGCCACUUUGUCCGGACUCUAAUUCAAAUUGUAUUCAUCCGAUCUUCACCAAACUUGGUCAGUAGUUGCAUCUAGUUGAUAUCUAGGUCAAGUCCGAAUAUGGGUCAUGCUGGGUCAAAAACUAGGUCAAAGGGUCAAUUAGUGCAUUUUACUUUGUCCGGACUCUAAUUCAAAUUGUAUAAAUCUUAUCUUCACCAAACUUGGUCAGUAGUUGCAUCUAGUUGAUAUCUAGGCCAAGUUCGAAUAUGGGUCAUGCCAGGUAAAAAACUAGGUCAUAGGGUCAAUUAGUCCAUUUUCAACAGCGCCACUUUGUCCGGACUCUUAUUCAAAUUGUAUUCAUCCGAUCUUUACCAAACUUGGUCAGUAGUUGCAUCUAGUUGAUAUCUAGGUCAAGUUCGAAUAUGGGUCAUGUCGGGUCAAGAACUAGGUCAUAGGGUCAAUUAGUGCAUUUUCAACGGCGCCACUUUGUCCGGACUCUAAUUCAAAUUGUAUUCAUCCGAAACUUUUAAACAACUUUUUAUCCUGCGUCAAAGUGGUAUGGGGGUAUAAGUCACAUUCAGUGACAAAGCUCUAGUUCAAGUUGAAUUCACCAAACUUGGUCAGAGGUAGUAUAUAGAUUAUAUAUCAGUCAGGUCUGAUUGGAGACAUGCAACCGAUUAACACAUGCAAUAUUUUUAUGCAAUAUUUUUAUCCAGUUUUAUUUUGCGAUAUUUUCAUCGGGUUUAUUUUUUUCGCGAUUUUUGAAACGAGUUAUUUUUAACAACAUGUUUAUUGGUAAGUUUCAUU